rnacentral:rRNA from 1 species
UGCCAGCAGCCGCGGUAAGACGAAGGUGGCAACCGUUGUUCGGAAUUAUUGGGCGUAAAGAGCAUGUAGGCGGACUGUUAAGUCUGGCGUGAAAGCCCGGGGCUCAACCCCGGAAGUGCGUUGGAUACUGGCAGUCUUGAGUAUGGGAGAGGAAAGUGGAAUUCCGAGUGUAGGAGUGAAAUCCGUAGAUAUUCGGAGGAACACCAGUGGCGAAGGCGGCUUUCUGGACCAAUACUGACGCUGAGAUGCGAAAGCGUGGGGAGCAAACAGGAUUAGAUA